GGGGAUGUAGCUCACAUGGUAGAGCGCUCGCUUUGCAUGCGAGAGGUACCAGGUUCGAUACUCGACAUCUCCA
rfam:Picea glauca, whole genome shotgun sequence.